GUUUACAAACAUGGAUUUUCGAAUAUUUAAGACCUUUCGCGACUCCUUACUAACCUCAAGUAUUAGUCAUGGAUAAAACAGGUUAUGCGAAUCGAUUUGACAUCAAAAUGAUUCCGAUAGCUGUAAAAUAUCGACGUUAGUGGUGAUUUAAAUGUUGUACAUGCGAGAAUGUAUUUUGUCCCAUCGUUGCCAAUGCAAGAUAGUUCACUGCUCGCUUUCCAAUUUCUGAGGCAGUUAUGAUCUAGUAUACGUUUCAGUUCUUUAGAAAUGAGGUGUCCCCAAUUACUUCCAAUAUGUUAGUUUCAUCUUGUCUGGUGCAGUUGCCAUUGCAACCAUGGAUACUGCUUCUCAUCAAAAGUCUCUUGUAUGCAGGACUUCGUAAAUUGUUCAGCUGUUGGUUGUUGUUCAAGCCUCCUGAGGACCAAAUUGCUCCAAAGAAAAGCUCUAAAUGAUCUUGGCUAAAUUUAUAAGUCAAAAUAUAUUUCAUUCGUGCAUCUUCCUCAGAAAUAAUAUAAAUUAAAAUCUCAUUUUUUGCUCUAAAUUUUAUUUUCCUCUUCUAAGUGCUAAGCAAAUUCCAGUAGUUAGUAUGAAUGUAAUAUUAAUGCCUUAAAUAUUUUUCCAAAAACAUUAAAAUUAUUCUUAAGA